rnacentral:rRNA from 1 species
GUGAGCGGCCUUCGGAUGUACCUCUUCAGUAGGAAGAAGCGAAGUGACGUACUGCAGAGAAGGCGCCGGCUACUACGUGCCAGCAGCCGCGGUAAUACGUAGGGCGCAAGCGUUAUCCGGGAAUUUAUUGGGCGUAAGAGCUCGUAGGCGGUUUGUCGCGUCUGCCGUGAAAGUCCGGGGCUCAACUCCGGAUCUGCGGUGGGUACGGGCAGACUAGAGUGAUGUAGGGGAGACUGGAAUUCCUGGUGUAGCGGUGAAAUGCGCAGAUAUCAGGAGGAACACCGAUGGCGAAGGCAGGUCUCUGGGCAUUAACUGACGCUGAGGAGCGAAAGCAUGGGGAGCGAACAGGAUUAGAUACCCUGGUAGUCCAUGCCGUAAACGUUGGGCACUAGGUGUGGGGGACAUUCCACGUUUUCCGCGCCGUAGCUAACGCAUUAAGUGCCCCGCCUGGGGAGUACGGCCGCAAGGCUAAAACUCAAAGGAAUUGACGGGGGCCCGCACAAGCGGCGGAGCAUGCGGAUUAAUUCGAUGCAACGCGAAGAACCUUACCAAGGCUUGACAUGGGCCGGACCGGGCUGGAAACAGUCCUUCCCCUUUGGGGCCGGUUCACAGGUGGUGCAUGGUUGUCGUCAGCUCGUGUCGUGAGAUGUUGGGUUAAGUCCCGCAACGAGCGCAACCCUCGUUCCAUGUUGCCAGCGCGUAAUGGCGGGGACUCAUGGGAGACUGCCGGGGUCAACUCGGAGGAAGGUGGGGACGACGUCAAAUCAUCAUGCCCCUUAUGUCUUGGGCUUCACGCAUGCUACAAUGGCCGGUACAAAGGGUUGCGAUACUGUGAGGUGGAGCUAAUCCCAAAAAGCCGGUCUCAGUUCGGAUUGGGGUCUGCAACUCGACCCCAUGAAGUCGGAGUCGCUAGUAAUCGCAGAUCAGCAACGCUGCGGUGAAUACGUUCCCGGGCCUUGUACACACCGCCCGUCAAGUCACGAAAGUUGGUAACACCCGAAGCCGGUGGCCUAACCCCUUGUGGGAGGAAUCUCGC